rnacentral:rRNA from 1 species
AGAGUUUGAUCAUGGCUCAGAACGAACGCUGGCGGCAGGCUUAACACAUGCAAGUCGAGCGCCCCGCAAGGGGAGCGGCAGACGGGUGAGUAACGCGUGGGAAUCUACCCAUCCCUACGGAAUAACGCAUGGAAACGUGUGCUAAUACCGUAUACGCCCUUAGGGGGAAAGAUUUAUCGGGGAUGGAUGAGCCCGCGUUGGAUUAGCUAGUUGGUGGGGUAAAGGCCUACCAAGGCGACGAUCCAUAGCUGGUCUGAGAGGAUGAUCAGCCACAUUGGGACUGAGACACGGCCCAAACUCCUACGGGAGGCAGCAGUGGGGAAUAUUGGACAAUGGGCGCAAGCCUGAUCCAGCCAUGCCGCGUGAGUGAUGAAGGCCUUAGGGUUGUAAAGCUCUUUCACCGAUGAAGAUAAUGACGGUAGUCGGAGAAGAAGCCCCGGCUAACUUCGUGCCAGCAGCCGCGGUAAUACGAAGGGGGCUAGCGUUGUUCGGAAUUACUGGGCGUAAAGCGCAUGUAGGCGGAUAUUUAAGUCAGGGGUGAAAUCCCAGAGCUCAACUCUGGAACUGCCUUUGAUACUGGGUAUCUUGAGUAUGGAAGAGGUAAGUGGAAUUCCCAGUGUA